ensembl:lncRNA
CACGGAGGUGAGAGGUGAAGUGGGAGACUGACCCAUAGAUUCUGAAGCCUCGACCGUGCCCAUGGGCCACUUCCAUUAGCCUGCAAUAGACGGCUCUUCUGAUGCUUUUUGUGCAACCCUGCAAUCCUAGCUAUAGUGGGUCCCUGAGAAAGACUCUGCUGUUCCCUGUAAACCAAAGCCAAACUGCUCGCUGUGUCUUGUUGACUGCCAGGCAGUCGGAUCUCUUAUGUCCAGAACAAGGCUGUGACCCAGGAGCUGCUGGUGACCUACUUGUGAUCAGGAGCCACAGAAAAAUGGCAGAUUUUCCACUUCUGGUUGAGAAAUUGAAGCUGCCUCUAGGAGGCUCGGAUGACGGCACAGUGGGAGAUUGUGUGCUUAGCUGCUGAGCUUGCUCAAGGCCAAGGACUCACUGCCUAACACCAAAGCAAUAGAAUGGGGCCAGAGAAAGGCUGAGCAGGUCAAGGUGCUCACCACGAAGGCUGACCUGCGUUCCUGUUAGAAGGAGACCGACUUGGGCAAGUUGGUCUUCCGUCCUCCAGAGGUGUGUUGUGGCACUGCAUGUACACACCCAUACCUACAUGGGAGAGAGGAAUAGCCCUGUGUCCUUCUGUGGUCCAGAACUUUGUGAGCCUGUCUCACAUAUGGAGCAAGACAGAACGGACCAUGAACCCACAUCUGUGGGCCUCAGGCCAUCUGGGACAAUUCGGUGCCAUUUUCCCUGUGUGAGUCCCAUGCCUGUGGGAGUUGUUCUGAGGAGUCUCAGUGAGAAGGCAGAGGCCCUUCCCUGGCAGAGCAUCUGUACACACAUUUGGUGCUGGGUGUGGUUUGCAUAUGGAGGUCAGAAUGUCUUUCAGAAUCUGUUUACUCCCUGCACCAUGUAUGUCCCUGAAACUGAACUCGGGUCAUCAGGCUUGGUGGCAAACACUUUUACCCAGUGGGCUAUCUCACUGACUGCUCCUGCCAACAAUUCCUGACCCACCCGUCACAUGGGUUACAGCCCCUGUCGUGUUUUCCUACUCAUCCACAAAGCAGCCUGAACCUGUCAAAGAGGAAGGACUCGAGGGGCAGAUGAGACAGCUCGGAGGCUAAGAGCACUGGCUGCUCUUCCAGAGGACCCAGGUUCAAUUCCCAGCACCUACAUGGCAGCUCAAAACUGUCUGUAACUCCAGUUCCAGGGAAUAUGUCUGUGUGUGUGUGUGUGUGUGUGUGUGUGUGUGUGUGUGUGUACAUAUAGUUUAAGUUGGGUUAGGGUGGCACUUGCCUGUAGUCAUUGGGAAACAGAAGCAGAU